rnacentral:lncRNA from 10 species
GCCGCUGAGCUUGGACCCCGACCAGAAGAUAGAGAUUGAAACGAUGAGGAAAACGAAGUGCCUAAUCCCCGCUGGACGCUAACUGCAGGCACCCAGAAAUACUCUCCACACCAUGCUGCACUGCUGCGGAUGAGGGAAGGAUGGUGUCGGGGCUUCAAGACUGUUUUUCCUACCUCUUCAGUGCCUCUUUCAGUGAUAUGAAGUUAAAACCAGGAACAUGGAGGAGACAUAUUUCCACCUAUUUCUCUCCAUAAGUAUAAAAGACCAUAAAAGACCAUCUAGGGACUUCAGAACCCAAAUAAUGACACAAUGGGUCUCAGUCACUGCCACCAGCCCAUGGACUCUGUUCUCCCACCACUCUGCC